UGCAGGAGUACUUUCGUAUACCGCUGAGCAGCCUGAGGUCGGUGCUCAGUGCGGCUCACAUCACCACCGUCCGACUGAUCAUCCAGUACUACAGCAGAUACAAGGAAACGCUGCAGGUGAGUCAGCACAGCCACAGGACACCUGCACACUCAACACACCGGGCUGUCUUUUGCUCUUUCUUCCCGGAAUUCUCGGCUCCGUGUUUCACGCGUAGCAGUCACUCACGUUCCUGCUGAUACAAAACUGGUGUUUGCUUCCCUCUUUUUUUCCGCAGUUGCCUGACCAGUACCUGUCCACCAUGGUGUCAGUGCUGCUCCAGACCCACGUGACAAAAGAUUUCAGUCUCUUCCCCGAGCUGGCUCCCCUGUUGGCCGCGGCCAGCACAGCUGACAUCCAAUCGUUGCCCUCGCUGCAGAAAGACAUCAUUGUGAGGGAGACCAUCAACAGAAACCUGGGGCACAUGACUGUGGACCAGCGGGACGCGUUCGGCCAGUGGUACAGCAAAGACAUGCCGCCGGCCAAAAUCACCGAAGGUCAUCACUCACUCAUUAGGGACACUGGAGACCUGAUCGCCUACCUGCCCUUCCGCAACUUCCAACACCUCUCGUGGCUCAGGUAACGGCUCUGACACCUCCCUGGGACAUCCGAGAAAGCAGGACUCUGUGAGUCCGAUUAGCGCCGGGUCACCGCAGGGCUGCUCGUCGUCACGCACUGGUCAAAAGAAAGCACACGCAGCCUCCUCUUUCUCCGUCACCCCCAAUGUGUGUCAUAUGCCUCGCCAAUGUUCAAUGAGUAAAGAUACUGUAGGCACACGUGAAUUACCAGUGAGCAGGAAAUAGGGGGUCACUGACCUUUCAGCAC
rnacentral:lncRNA from 1 species